CGGCCCAAUCAAAGCCCGCGCUCCAGGCGUGGCCAGAGGAGCCCCGAGAUACGGCCCGUGCUGCAGACAGCUGACGCCUUGGCCGGAGCGCGCCUCGCUCCCGCACACCGCGAUGCUCGCGUGCAGGCCACGUAGCAUACUCCGGGACGGUGCGGGGGAGAAGGUAGUCACCUGGAGAGACUUGUCGUGACCGUGGUGGCGAGGCGGACUUGAGCCUGUGAUCGAUGCAAUCAGAGUUCUAUUACACCUUAAAGAGACCGCGCCCAAAGCUGCUACACCUUGUGGAGACCGGAGAGGGAACUUGGCUGAGCAGACAAGCAAGGUCCUUCAACAGUGCAUUCAGAAGAACUAAGUUCCUGGCGGAAGACUUGAUUUUGUUGACUGUUUUUGCACGUAGUGUAGAUACAAAUGCUGGCAGCAAAUGAUGGAUGAACAUUUUACUCAAAUGCUCACUCCAUUUUUAUUUAUUUGCUGUUUGUUCCAUUCUGAUCCGUUCUUUUGCAUGUGCUUUGUUAAACUCCCUCAUAUUUGACGUCGUCGGAAGACUUGGAAACAUGCUUUUAAGUUACUAGACCACGUGGUUGCUAUAAUGGUUUCCAUUGUAGGCUUUCUAACACAUAGCAUGAUUUGUGCUUCUGCAACAUGAGGUUCUCGAUGACAGUUAUAAAAGGGAGGCCACAUCUAGCGCCCUUGACAACAAACGACAGCAAUAAACUCUGACCUGAAGCAUAAAGGACUCAGCUGAGAAUUACAUAUGGAACAAAACUUCUUGUCAACAAAAUGUCAUGAUAACUGAUAGGCAAACCAGAAAGCCAGGAGGCAAAGCAAGUUACGAAAACAUCAUAUUUACCACUGCCUGGGCUGCUCUCAGCAUUGCUCAGGGAAGCGGUUUUUUGCAGUUGGCAGCACUCAACUGGUUAAAGUGCAGAGAAUAAGAGUCUAUAAGCGCUCAGUCCUCAACAGAACAUCUCUGUCACAUCCUACCCCAAGUACUGAGGAACAUCGCAAAAGAAGAGCCAGAGGAUAAGGAUGAAGAGUGCUGUAAAAUGCAAUCUUCUGGCCAUGACGUGGCUAUUGUGCAUGCUUAGCAGCCUAUGUUACCCACACAGGAUCGAGCUGGUCCAAAUUCUAGCACAGAUGUGGGCCCCGCUCUCUAGUCCCCACCCCCAAAUGGAGAAGCUAACCAAUAGCUGGUUUCCCAUGCUCCCGUGGAUGGCCCCACUUUAGACACUUAACCGCUCCUCUGAUUGUAAAGUCCUGAUGU